rnacentral:lncRNA from 1 species
CCGCAGCCGGAGUCGGAGAUGAGGUCUGGCUCCCGUAGGAGCCGGGGUGAGGUCUAUCUGCACUCAAAGUUCGGGGCGAAGUCUGGCUCCCUUAGUAGUUCAGACGGAGUUUACUAGCAGUCAAAGUCGAGGGCGGAGUCCGGCUCCCGUAGGAGUCCGGGCGAAGCCUUCCAGCAGUUGAGGUCGGGGAUGGAGCCCGGCUCCUGUAGGAG